rnacentral:rRNA from 1 species
CAGUCGCCGCGGUAAUACGAAGGGUGCAAGCGUUACUCGGAAUUACUGGGCGUAAAGCGUGCGUAGGCGGUUUGUUAAGUCUGCUGUGAAAUCCCCGGGCUCAACCUGGGAAUGGCAGUGGAUACUGGCAAGCUAGAGUGUGUCAGAGGAUGGUGGAAUUCCCGGUGUAGCGGUGAAAUGCGUAGAGAUCGGGAGGAACAUCAGUGGCGAAGGCGGCCAUCUGGGACAACACUGACGCUGAGGCACGAAAGCGUGGGGAGCAAACAGGAUUAGAUACCCGGGUAGUCCCUGUCUCUUAUAA